GUUUCUAUAGUUUAAUUUAAAAUGUUAAAUUGCAAAUUUAAAGAUAAUUUUAUUUAGAAAUU
rnacentral:tRNA from 1 species